rnacentral:misc_RNA from 1 species
UCUCGGCUUAUCACCGGCAGUCCCCUUAGAGUGCCCAACUGAAUGAUGGCAACUAAGGGCGAGGGUUGCGCUCGUUGCGGGACUUAACCCAACACCUCACGACACGAGCUGACGACAGCCAUGCAGCACCUGUGUUCCGGCCAGCCGAACUGAAGAAUGAGGUCUCCCCCACCCAUACCGGACAUGUCAAGGGCUGGUAAGGUUCUUCGCGUUGCGUCGAAUUAAACCACAUGCUCCACCGCUUGUGCGGGCCCCCGUCAAUUCCUUUGAGUUUUAGCCUUGCGGCCGUACUCCCCAGGCGGGGCGCUUAAUGCGUUAGCUACGGCACAAAAGGGGUCGAUUCCUCUUACAGCAAAUGCGCACCGUUUACGGCUAGGACUAC